rnacentral:rRNA from 1 species
AUUGAACGCUGGCGGCAUGCUUUACACAUGCAAGUCGAGCGGCAGCGCGGGGGCAACCCUGGCGGCGAGCGGCGAACGGGUGAGUAAUGCAUCGGAACGUAUCCUCGAGUGGGGGAUAACCCAGCGUAAGUUGGGCUAAUACCGCAUGAGCUCUGAGGAGGAAAGCGGGGGACCUGCGAGGGCCUCGCGCUGGAGGAGCGGCCGAUGUCCGAUUAGCUAGUUGGUGGGGUAAAGGCUUACCAAGGCGACGAUCGGUAGCUGGUCUGAGAGGAUGAUCAGCCACACUGGGACUGAGACACGGCCCAGACUCCUACGGGAGGCAGCAGUGGGGAAUUUGGGACAAGGGGGGCAACCCUGAUCCAGCCAUGCCGCGUGAGUGAAGAAGGCCGUCGGGUUGUAAAGCUCUUUCGGACGGAACGAAAUGGGCGGGACUAAUACUCCUGUCUGAUGACGGUACCGUAAGAAGAAGCACCGGCUAACUACG